GAGUAACUUCGGUAAAUGAUUCAUCUUCAUCUUCCACAAUGUAAGCAACGGUAUAUGCAUCUUCACCACAAAUUACUAUAACUGGACGAGAACUGAAUUCUGAUGGUUGAAGCCAUUGAACCUUCUGAAUAUUAAAACCUUUUUUUGGAACUCCAACGACCCUGGGUGUAUUCCAACUUAAAGCCCAGAAGUAUAGGAAUGUAGCAUUAGACGGAAUUUUGGAUUCUUUCCUAAUUUUUGUUUGAAUGACCACCAAAUCGGGACGACCUGGAUGCCAUUCAAAAUACACUAUAUGAUGUUUUUGAAUAAGAACAGUGUGCAGUUUUUUAUUCUGUAAAUUCCAUAGCCAAAGAACAUUAGGAUAUUUAGAAGUAAUUGUAGCAGCAUACGUCUCAUCACAGUUGAAACGUAUUUUUGAUGCUGAACAAAAGGAGGGUUCUGGGAAAUCGGUUCUGAGUUUAUGUACUUUUUGAUAAGUCAUUUGUUGCUCAUAGAUUGUUUCCUUCUCUUCCCAUAUAUGCAUUUCCAAGUCAGUAUUGGUAUAUUGCAAACAAUGGUGAAGUCGAAAAACUAUACUAAAAGUUUUUGUUUCAAGUAGAUGUAAGGUUGAAUCAUGGUAACUGCACAAAGUUAGAUAUUUGCCAAAGGGACUCCACUCAAAAUCGGAAAAGCCGACUUCAAUUAACCUAUUUGGUCGAUAUUCGUGAAAAAGAAGACCGGUGCGAUGAUAAAUAUAAACAACUGCAUCUAAUACGUUUUCCAAAACAGCUAACCAGUUUCCAUCUGGCGACCAAUGGAUACCCGUCGAAUCUAUUGUAGGAAGCUUACACUCUUUAAGAAGUAUCCAUGCCUUUUUGCUGAUUUGGUAAAAUUGAAGGCAAUCCGAACCGUUAAAACGAGAUAAUAUAGUACAGAAUUGCAUGGAUGGAUGUAAAGCGUAAACUAAACAGUCAGUAAAUUGAUAUAUCAGACAAGAAAUACCUUUCGAAACAUUGGUUUUUACAUGUGGAAGCAAAUAACCUUUCUGGGUAUUUAAAGACCACACAGUAAUCUUCGACUAAAAAAUUUGCUAUUAGCAUCGCAGAUAUAUAAGCAAAAAGUUGUGCAAAUUUUAUUAGAUACAACGUACAUCAAAGGACGACCAGAGAAGCAGUUCUCCAGACGGGCUCCAGCUGAUACUACUCAAAGGAUCCUGGUCGCACUGUAUGCUAGCAUAAUAAUCGUGUUGUACAAUAUCUAAUACAAACACUUUAUCAACUGAGGCAACACAAAUUUGAUGGCAUUUUUCUGCUCCUAAAUUGGGUUUCCAUAACAAGUAUACAACCUUUUGAAUGAAUUGAGCGUUUAGAAGGAACACAUGGUGAAGCUCGAGGGUUUCAGAAUUUCGAAUUAAGACAUGCCCAGAGCGAGAUAAAGACGCAAUCCAAUUACCACAAUGUGAAACACUUGCAAAUGUGGGAUUCAGACUAGCAAACAAAGCCGUAAAAUCCAUCCCAUAACCAAGCUUGCAACUCUGUUUGUUGUUUGAUCAGAUUUAUUUACAAUUCGU
rnacentral:lncRNA from 1 species